rnacentral:rRNA from 1 species
CCUAUGGGGGGCAGCAGGCGCGUAACCUUUACAAUGCACGAAAGUGUGAUAAGGGAAUCCCUAGUGCUUAUGGAAACAUAAGCUUUUGGCAAGGGUAGGAACCUUGUCGAAUAAGCAGUGGGUAAGACCGGUGCCAGCCGCCGCGGUAACCCCGGCGCUGCAAGUGGCGAUCAGCAUUACUGGGCCUAAAGCGUUCGUAGCCGGUUUUGUAAAUUCUUUGUGAAAUCGUCAGGCUUAACCUGACGGCGUGCAGAGGAGACUGCAUUACUUGAGAUCGGGAGGCGUUAGAGGUAUUUUGGAGGGAGCGGUAAAAUGCUAUAAUCUCUAAAAGACCACCUGUGGCGAAGGCGUCUAACGAGAACGAUUCUGACGGUGAGGAACGAAGGCCAGGGGAGCAAAAGGGAUUAGAUACCCCCGUAGUCC